rnacentral:rRNA from 1 species
CACGUAGGGGGCAAGCGUUGUCCGGAUUUAUUGGGCGUAAAGAGCUCGUAGGUGGUUUGUCGCGUUGUCCGUGAAAACUCACAACUCAAUUGUGGGCGUGCGGGCGAUACGGGCAGACUGGAGUACUGCAGGGGAGACUGGAAUUCCUGGUGUAGCGGUGGAAUGCGCAGAUAUCAGGAGGAACACCGGUGGCGAAGGCGGGUCUCUGGGCAGUAACUGACGCUGAGGAGCGAAAGCGUGGGGAGCGAAUAGG